rnacentral:misc_RNA from 1 species
GAAGGAUAUUCUCAUCCAAUAAGGUAUGGCAAAGGUGUUGAAGGGAGAGAAGAAAGGAAAGCCUGAAAUAAUGUCUAAUGCAAACUGGGAGAAGCUUGGCAAGAGAUGUGUAAGCACGAUACGGCAUGGCAUCGUUGAUAACAUUGUGAAUAAUGUUAUUAAUGAAGACUCUAUUGUGAAUAUCUGGGAGAAGCUAGACAAAGUUUUAUAUU